GGGGAUGUAGUUAAAUUAACAUCUAAUUUGCAAUUAGAAGAUACUAAAUAGUCUUCCUCA
rnacentral:tRNA from 1 species